GCCCGGGUGGCUCAGUUGGUUGAGCGUCUGACUUCAGUUUAGGUCAUGAUCUCACGGUUUGUGAGUUCGAGUCCUGCAUCAGGCU
rfam:Felis catus isolate Cinnamon breed Abyssinian chromosome A3, whole genome shotgun sequence.